rnacentral:lncRNA from 1 species
AUUUGUCUAGCAGCGGGUUAUUAGGCUGCAGGUCGGGAUGUUUUGUAUCUUUACAUGGUUUUAUUGUAUGUAUGUGUAAGUGUGUACGUAUUGUAUGUUUUACAUGUUUUGAUAUGGUCAAAAGUGACUAAUCAAUAAAGAAUUGUAAAUUACAUAGCAUUAAUGUGUAAUGAACUAGUUUUUCUGUCAAAUUUGUUGUAUAACAUGAUGUUUUGUUGCUUAAUUUGUAAAAUCAUAACCUGUUUUGAUGUUUAAUAGGCUUUUUCUUAAUCUCUCCUUAUUAUCCAACAUAUUCGCUUAUCCAACGUUCUGCCGGCCUGUUUAUGUUGGAUAAGUGAGACUCUACUGUACAACAAGGAACACUUUUUACUUUGCAGAGGCAGAACUCUGACUAUUCUCAACUUAUUAUAUUAGUUAUUCCAGCAAAUAUCUUCUGUUACCACAGUCCUUAACCUAUCUUCACUGACCACAACUCACUAUCCUGUCCUAACAGAUAGCUUUCCCCAUCCUAACUGCUUUAGAAUGUUCAGCUGCUCUCCUAACUGCCAACUGCCAACUUCACUUUUAAACUCUGGCACAUGCUCAUUUACAUAUGACCAAUCCGGUCGCUGCUAUGUAAAUUAGCUUCUCUCUUGAUGUCAGAUUCCGAGUGCUACAAAAUGGCGGUUCACCCACCAACCCUGCAAGGUAAGCCAGAGAAAAGGGGAAAAAACAAACCUAGCAAAAGUUUCUGGAUUUAAGGCUUGCAGCUGGCAGCUGGCAAAAUUGCACACCCAAAGGCAUGAUUGCAAUGUGAUAUGUGUAAUAUGCAAAUAUCUGGUGAGCCAUUGUUCAUUUUUCUGUGUGCCUAGCUAUAUAAGAUGUGAUUUAUUGCUCCGGCUCUGACUUAUUGUUUCAUAAUAUACAUUCCUUGAUGUUUGCUAACAUAAGGGUUCAAAAAGUAGUGGAGUUUAUUCAAUCUUAAAGAAAAGAUAGCCAUAUGGUUAUUCACAGUUCUUGGGCACCAUUGACAGGCAGUACAUGUGCUAGAUAAUACAAAGUCAGGCCUCAUCUCUUUUAAUCUUUCCUUGUUGUUGUGAUGUACUUUCAAGUUGGCUUAGAUUUAUGAUGAUCCUGUCAGAGUAUUGUUGAGCCAUGAUACAUCCCCCCAAAGGAUUUAUAGUACACCAAAAGAUUUCAAGCAAAUAAUAUGAUUUUUUUUCUUUUUUUAUUAAAAAACCUUUUUGGAGGUCCAGAGUUGUGAAAUUCCAAAGUGCUAGAGGUUCUGGAAUGGAUCUAGCAGCAGCUGUAUCAAUUUCAUGAUUUUAUACAACUUGUAUCUUUUAUAUAUUGUAUAUUAUGUCAAUCCUUCUAAGAAGUGUAUAAACUGUUUCUAAUAUAUGUAUCAACAUGUAACUUGAAUACAUUUUUCUCAGAAUCCUAGUUCAUAACCCAAAUCAUUGUGCCCUGUUGGCUCAUUCCUGUA